UACAGAGGUGGCAAGCGUUGUUCGGAAUUACUGGGCGUAAAGGGCGCGUAGGCGGCCUUCUAAGUCAGACGUGAAAUCCCCCGGCUUAACCUGGGAACUGCGUCUGAUACUGGAGGGCUUGAGUGCGGGAGAGGGAUGUGGAAUUCCAGGUGUAGCGGUGAAAUGCGUAGAUAUCAGGAGGAACACCAAUGGCGAAGGCAGCCUUCUGGGCCUGUUCUGACGCUGAGGAGCGAAAGCGUGGGGAGCAAACAGG
rnacentral:rRNA from 1 species